rnacentral:rRNA from 1 species
AACGAACGCUGGCGGCAUGCCUAACACAUGCAAGUCGAACGAGAUCUUCGGGUCUAGUGGCGCACGGGUGCGUAACGCGUGGGAAUCUGCCCUUUGGUUCGGAAUAACAGUUGGAAACGACUGCUAAUACCGGAUGGUGACGAAAGUCCAAAGAUUUAUCGCCAGAGGAUGAGCCCGCGUAGGAUUAGCUAGUUGGUGUGGUAAAGGCGCACCAAGGCGACGAUCGUUAGCUGGUCUGAGAGGAUGAUCAGCCACACUGGGACUGAGACACGGCGCAGACUCCUACGGGAGGCAGCAGUGGGGAAUAUUGGACAAUGGGCGAAAGCCUGAUCCAGCAAUGCCGCGUGAGUGAUGAAGGCCUUAGGGUUGUAAAGCUCUUUUGCCCGGGAUGAUAAUGACAGUACCGGGAGAAUAAGCUCCGGCUAACUCCGUGCCAGCCGCCGCAGUAA